UACGUAGGGUCCGAGCGUUGUCCGGAAUUAUUGGGCGUAAAGGGCUCGUAGGCGGUCUGUCACGUCGGGAGUGAAAACUCAGGGCUCAACCCUGAGCGUGCUUCCGAUACGGGCAGACUAGAGGUAUGCAGGGGAGAACGGAAUUCCUGGUGUAGCGGUGGAAUGCGCAGAUAUCAGGAGGAACACCGGUGGCGAAGGCGGUUCUCUGGGCAUGACCUGACGCUGAGGAGCGAAAGCAUGGGGAGCGAACAGG
rnacentral:rRNA from 1 species